rnacentral:lncRNA from 1 species
AGGUAAUGAGAGGCCCUGAGAUCCCAGAGGUACCAUUCAAGAAGCCUGGGAUGUGUUGAGGACUCUGCUUCCUGCAGACACCUGAGUUUCUCUCCUCUGGUUUUAUGGUAAAACGGAGAGACAGAACCAGAGGGCAACCCACCAGGAAAGCCACUGAGCUGUGUGCACCAAGCCCAUCACUCAAGCUUGGCAUUUUCACAGCAACUAGCUCCACGACAAAAUAAGCCUCCUUGAAAUUUCCAAACAGAAAGCUCUGGAGAUGUCUGGCAAGCCCUGGGCAUAACUUUCUGCUGCUGCAGACCUGGAAUCUACAGAAGCAACCUUGUGAGUCAGUUCCUCCAGCCCUAGCCUGGCACUUCUUUUGGUCACCCUCCCCCUCCUCCCCACAAACCCACAUGCCUGCUUCAAUACACUACGCUCCUAAUCCUGUUUGAAGUGUACAAGCAACACACUUGAAGUACACUAGUUCAAUGUCAUUUGAGGAACUCUCAGUAUAAACUCCACACAGAAAAACAAUGAUGAGGCUAUUCCCACAGUAUUGUAUGAUUUAGAAAACACUUUCAUAGGCAUUAGCUCCCUAUUCAGACAUCUAGUCUUUGCCUCCGGAGAAGGCAAUGGCACCCCACUCCAGCACUCUUACCUGGCAAAUCCCAUGGAUGGAGGAGCCUGGUAGGCUCCAGUCCAUGGGGUUGCUAAGAGUUGGACACGACUGAGCGACU